GACGAACGCUGGCGGCGUGCUUAACACAUGCAAGUCGAACGGAAAGGCCCUGCUUUUGUGGGUUGCUCGAGUGGCGAACGGGUGAGUAACACGUGAGUAACCUGCCCUUGACUUUGUGAUAACUUCAGGAAACUGGGGCUAAUACCGGAUAGGAGCUCCUGCUGCACGGUGGGGGUUGGAAAGUUUCGGCGGUUGGGGCUGGACUCGCGGCUUAUCAGCCUGUUGGUGGGGUAGUGGCUUACCAAGGCUUUGACGGGUAGCCGGCCUGAGAGGGUGACCGGCCACAUUGGGACUGAGAUACGGCCCAGACUCCUACGUGAGGCAGCAGUGGGGAAUAUUGCACAAUGAGCGGAAGCCUGAUGCAGCAACGCCGCGUGCGUGAUGACGGCCUUCGGGUUGUAAACCGCUUUCGCCUGUGACGAAGCGUGAGUGACGGUAAUGGGUAAAGAAGCAACGGCUAACUACGUG
rnacentral:rRNA from 1 species